GCUGACACGCUGUCCUCUGGCGACCUGUCGCUGGAGAGGUUGGGACUCCGGAUGCGUGCGGGGCUCUGGCCUACCGGUGACCCGGCUAGCCGGCCGUGCUCCUGCUUGAGCCGCCUGCUGGGGCCCGCGGGCCUGCUGUCCUCUCGCGCGCCCGGGCGUGUCCCGACUCCCGGUGCCGGCCCGGGUCCGGGUCUCUGACCCGCCUGGGGGCGGCGGGGAAGGCGGCGAGGGCCACCCUGCCCCCGUGCGCUCUCCGCUGCGGGCGCCCGGGGCGGCCGCGACAACCCCACCCCGCUGGCUCCGUGCCGUGCGUGUCAGGCGUUCUCGUCUCCGCUGGGUUGUCCGCCGCCCCUUCCCCGGAGCAGGGCGUCGGCCGGCCGGCCGACCUCCGCUCCCGGGGGGCUCUUCGUGAUCGAUGUGGUGACGUCGUGCUCUCCCGGGCCGGGUCCGAGCCGCGACGGGCGAGGGGCGGACGUUCGUGGCGAACGGGACCGUUCUUCUCGCUCCGCCCCGCGGGGUCCCCUCGUCUCUCCUCUCCCCGCCUGCGGGUGGCGCGUGUGGGGGAGGCGUGUGGGGUGCGGAGCCCGGCCCGACCUCGCCGUCCCGCCCGCUGCCUUCUGCGUCGCGGGGCGGCGGGGUCCUCUGACGCGGCAGGCACCCCUCGCUGUCGCCUCCAGUGGUUGUGGACUUGCGGGCGGCCCCCCUCCGCGGCGGUGGGGGGUGCCGUCCCGCCGGCCCGUCGUGCUGCCCUCUCGGGGGGUGUGCGCGAGCGUCGGCUCCGCUUGGGCCUUUGCGGUGCUCCUGGAGCGCUCCGGGUUGUCCCUCAGGUGCCCGAGGCCGAGCGGUGGUGUGUCGUUCCCGCCCCCAGCGCCCCCUCCUCCGGUCGCCGCCGCGGUGUCCGCGCGUGGGUCCUGAGGGAGCUCGUCGGUGUGGGGUUCGAGGCGGUCGAGUGAGACGAGACGCGCCCCUCCCACGCGGGGAAGGGCGUCCGUCCGGCGAGCGCACGUCCCGUGCUCCCCUCUGGCGGGUGCGCGCGGGCCGUGUGAGCGAUCGCGGUGGGUUCGGGCCGGUGGCGCGUGCGCCGGCCGGCCGCCGAGGGGCUGCCGUUCUGCCUCCGACCGGUAGUGUGUGGGUUGACUUCGGGGGUGCUUUGCCUCGGAAGGAAGGAGGCGGGUGGACGGGGGGGCCUCGUGGGGUUGCGCGCACGCGCGCACCGGCCGGGCCCCCGCCCUGACCGCGGACGCUCAAGGUGGCCGCACGCAGGUGUUUCCUCGUACUGCAGGCCCCCUCCCUUCCCCAGGCGUCCCUCGGCGCCUCUGCGGGCCCGAGGAGGGGCGGCUGGCGUGUGGGGGAGUGUGACCCACCCUCGGUGAGAAAGCCUUCUCUAGCGAUCCGAGAGGCGUGCCUUGGGGUACCGGAUCCCCCGGACUGCCGCCUCUGUCUCUGCCUCCGUGAUGGGAGCGCUGCCGUAGCGACUCGCUCGCAGAGGACCCUCCUCCCCUUCCCCCUCGACGGGGUUCGCGGGGGAGAGCGAGGGUUUCCGCCGGCCACCGCGGUGGUGGCCGAGCGCGGCUCGUCGCCUACUGUGGCCCGCGCCUCCCCCUUCUGAGUCGGGGGAGGAUCCCGCCGGGCCGGGCCCUGGCGUCCCAGCGGGUUGGGACGUGGCGGCCGGCGGGCGGUGGGUGCGCGCGCGGCGUUCCGUCCGGCGCGUGACCCCCUCCGCCGCGAGUCGGCUCUCCGUCCGCUCCCGUGUGCCGAGUCGUGACCGGUGCCCACGACCGCGUUUGCGUGGCGCGGGGUCGGGCCGCCUGGCCCUGGGAAAGCGUCCCACGGUGGGGGCGCGCCGGUCUCCCGGAGCGGGACCGGGCCGGAGGAUGGACGAGAGAAUCACGAGCGAUGGUGUUGCCGGUGUUGUCGGGCUUGUGGCUGCGGUCGCUUUGGGGCCCCCGGUGGCGGGACCCCGGGGCUCGCGAGGCGGGUCUCGGUGGGGGCCGAGGGCCGUCCGGCGUCCCAGGCGGGGCGCCGCGGGACCGCCCUCGUGUCUGUGGCGGUGGGAUCCCGCGGCCGUGUUUUCCUGGUGGCCCGGCCGUGCCUGAGGUUUCUCCCCGAGCCGCCGCCUCUGCGGGCUCCCGGGUGCCCUUGCCCGUCUGUGCCCUCUUCCCCGCCCGCCGCCCGCCGAUCCUCUCUUCUCCCCGAGCGGCUCGCCGGCUUGACGUCGGUUGGUGGCCCCGUCUGGGACCGAACCCGGCACCGCCUUGUUGGGGGCGCCGCCGCCGGCCACUGGUUGGCCCGGUGUCCGCGUCCCCCGGCGCGCGCCUUCGGGACCGGGUCGGUGGCGCCCCGCGUGGGGCCCGGUGGGCUUCCCGGAGGGUUUCGGGGGUCGGCCUGUGGCGCGCGUGCGAGGGAAGAGAGGGUGCCGGGGGACCGGCCGCGACUGCGGCGGUGGUGGGGGGGGAGCCGCGGGGAGCGCCGAGGGCCGGUCGGCCGCUCCGGGUGCCGCGCGGGGCCGCCUUCCCGCUCGGAGGCUGCCGGCGGUGAGACCCCCGCGUGUGUGUCCCGGCCGCGGUCGGCUGCGCCCGAGGGGUCCCGUGGCGUCCCCUUCCCCGCCGGCCGCCUUUCUCGCGCCUUCCCCGUCGCCUCGGCCUCGCCCGUGGUCCCUCGUCUUCUCCCGGCCCGCUCUUCCGAGCCGGGUCGGCGCGUCCCCCGGGUGCGCCUCGCUUCCCGGGCCUGCCGUGGCCCUCCCUGGAGGCGUCCGUCCCGGGCGUCGGCGUCGGGGAGAGCGCGUCCUCCCCGCGUGGCGUUGCCCCGUUCGGCGCGCGCGUGCGCCCGAGCGCGGCCCGGUGGUCCCUCCCGGACAGGCGUUCGUGCGAUGUGUGGCGCAGGUCGGCCUCCGCCUUUGCCCGGUCGCUCGCCCUUUCCCCGGGUCGGGGGGUGGGGCCCGGGCCGGGGCCUCGGCCCCGGUCGCGGUCCCUCGUCCCGGGUGGGGGCGGGCGCGCCGGCCGGCUGCGGUCGUCCUCCCUUGGCCGUCGUGUGGCGUGUGCCACCCCUGCGCCCGCGCCCGCCGGCGGGGCUCGGAGCCGGGCUUCGGCCGGGCUCCGGGCCCUCGACCGGACCGGUGCGCGGGCGCUGCGGCCGCACGGCGCGACUGUCCCCGGGCCGGGCGCCGCGGUCCGCCUCUCGCUCGCCGCCCGAACGUCGGGGCCGCCCCGCGGGGCGGGCGGAGCGCCGUCCCCGCCUCGCCGCCGCCCACGGGCGCCGGCCGCGCGUGCGCGUGGCCGCCGGUCCCUCCCGGGCGCGGGUCGGGCCAUCCGCCUCCUCGCGGGCGGGCGCGACGAGAAAGGGUCUCGCGGGUCCGUGGUGUGAGCCCGGCGCGGGGGGGGGGCGGUGGUCGUGUCGUGUUGGGGGGCGGGUGGUCGGGGCGUCCGGUUCGCCGCGCCCCGCCCCGGCCCCCACCGUCCCGGCCGCCGCCCCGCGCCCGCUCGCUCCCUCCCGCCCGCCCGUCCGCGGUCCGUCCGUCCGUCGUCCUCCUCGCUUCCGGGGCGCCGGGCCCGUCCUCGCGAGGCCCCCGGCCGGCCGCGUCGGGGCCUCGCCGCGCUUCUACC
rnacentral:misc_RNA from 1 species